UACGAAGGGGGCUAGCGUUGCUCGGAAUCACUGGGCGUAAAGGGUGCGUAGGCGGGUCUUUAAGUCAGGGGUGAAAUCCUGGAGCUCGACUCCAGAACUGCCUUUGAUACUGAAGAUCUUGAGUUCGGGAGAGGUGAGUGGAACUGCGAGUGUAGAGGUGAAAUUCGUAGAUAUUCGCAAGAACACCGGUGGCGAAGGCGGCUCUCUGGACCGAUACUGACGCUGAGGCGCGAAAGCGUGGGGAGCAAACAGG
rnacentral:rRNA from 1 species